rnacentral:misc_RNA from 1 species
GUAUUGAUUGCGUGUUAUCGCAAAAAUGGGGUCACUCUACACUUUUAAAAGGGGUGUUUGUGUGAAAACGCGAGCCUCCUCCGAGAUGAUCCCAAAGGGUGCCCACGCGGUGAUGCACAAAGGGUGAGAUGGAUUAUUAUGUGAGGAAACACACCCGGGCGUGCACGACAUUGAGUCAGCGACAGCCCUUGCAUGCCCCUCACAUUUUGUACGAUAAUGAUCCUUCCGCAGGUUCACCUACGGAAA